UUGAAAGGGAAACGAUUGAAGUCAGUCGUACCUGCGGGAUAAUCAGCCUUUCGAGUAUGAUUCUGUGGAGUGUAAGGAGUUUAACCGUCUUCAUACCUGCAUAUUCGUGCGCUUUGGGUGUACUUGUCCGUAUGGUAGGUUAACAUCAAUUUUGGUCGUUAUAAAAUGACUAGGGGAAUGUAGCUUUGAUCCCGUAUUGAAGUGUUAUAGCCUCUGGUAAAUGCAGUGACUAGGAUUGAGGAUUGCAACGGAUACCUUUCGGGGCUACUCGUCUGAUCUCUGGAAGUUACUUUGGUGCUAAAAGCUUGCUUAUGGUUAUCGAAGUUGGCGGUCAAUAGGUUAGAACGAGUUAAAUUCGUUAAGGAUGUUGACGUA
rnacentral:rRNA from 1 species